UACAGAGAGGACAUCUGAAACA
rnacentral:miRNA from 1 species